UAGGGAAUCUUCGGCAAUGGACGGAAUUNNGGACCGAGCAACGCCGGCGUGAGUGAAGAAGGUUUUCGGAUCGUAAAGCUCUGUUGUAAGAGAAGAACGAGUGUGAGAGUGGAAAGUUCACACUGUGACGGUAUCUUACCAGAAAGGGACGGCUAACUACGUGCCAGCAGCCGCGGGUAAUACGUAGGUCCCGAGCGUUGUCCGGAUUUAUUGGGCGUAAAGCGAGCGCAGGCGGUUAGAUAAGUCUGAAGUUAAAGGCUGUGGCUUAACCAUAGUAGGCUUUGGAAACUGUUUAACUUGAGUGCAAGAGGGGAGAGUGGAAUUCCAUGUGUAGCGGUGAAAUGCGUAGAUAUAUGGAGGAACACCGGUGGCGAAAGCGGCUCUCUGGCUUGUAACUGACGCUGAGGCUCGAAAGCGUGGGGGAGCAAACAGGAUUAGAUACCCUGGUAGUCCACGCUGUAAACGAUGAGUGCUAGGUGUUAGACCCUUUCCGGGGUUUAGUGCCGUAGCUAACGCAUUAAGCACUCCGCCUGGGGAGUACGACCGCAAGGUUG
rnacentral:rRNA from 1 species